rnacentral:rRNA from 1 species
AUUCCAGCUCCAAUAGCGUAUAUUAAAGUUGUUGCAGUUAAAAAGCUCGUAGUUGGAUUUGUGGCGUACGAUGUGUUCCGGGCACUCGUUGUCUGAGUAACUCGUCGUUGCCAUCCUUGGGUGGAACCUGUGUGGCAUUAGGUUGUCGUGCAGGGGAUGCCCAUCGUUUACUGUGAAAAAAUUAGAGUGUUCAAAGCAGGCUUAUGCCGUUGAAUAUAUUAGCAUGGAAUAAUGAGAUAGGACUUUUUCGCUAUUUUGUUGGUUUGCGCGAAGAGGUAAUGAUUAAUAGGGACAGUUGGGGGUAUUCGUAUUCCAUUGUCAGAGGUGAAAUUCUUGGAUUUUUGGAAGACGAACUACUGCGAAAGCAUUUACCAAGGAUGUUUUC